rnacentral:rRNA from 1 species
GGGGAGUACGGCCGCAAGGUUAAAACUCAAAUGAAUUGACGGGGGCCCGCACAAGCGGUGGAGCAUGUGGUUUAAUUCGAUGCAACGCGAAGAACCUUACCUGGUCUUGACAUCCACAGAACUUUCCAGAGAUGGAUUGGUGCCUUCGGGAACUGUGAGACAGGUGCUGCAUGGCUGUCGUCAGCUCGUGUUGUGAAAUGUUGGGUUAAGUCCCGCAACGAGCGCAACCCUUAUCCUU